CGGGGCUCGGGCCGGGCUCCGCGCGGAGUUGCAGCGGUGGCCGGAUGCCAAGUGAUUUUUUAUCAAGCAGAAAUGCAUCGAACAACGAGAAUCAAGAUCACUGAGCUAAAUCCCCACCUGAUGUGUGUGCUUUGUGGAGGGUACUUCAUUGAUGCCACAACCAUAAUAGAAUGUCUACAUUCCUGUAAGUACCGAGCUUUAGCUCUCUUUUGUAUCAUGCGUAUUUCACAGUUCGACCUGGAAUUUGAAAACUAUUAAUGAUUCCUGCAAUCUGUGGAAAUGUUGGUACAAAGUGGUGAAGUCAUUUUCUUCUCUUGCAUCUAAUGACUUUUUGUUAAUAUGUAUUGAUUGUAUUACAAGCAUGCAAUAUAUGUGUUCUCAGGAUAUGAAUUAGCUUAUUUAGUUGGAAAUGCCUUUCACCAUCUUGUUUUCUACUAGUUCUGGGUUUCUAACACCAAUGCUUUAUCCACUCAUUUCUAAACAUAAAAAAAUUCACAUGUUCUACUUCUAGUCUGUAAAACGUGUAUUGUUCGUUACCUGGAGACCAGCAAGUAUUGUCCUAUUUGUGAUGUCCAAGUUCACAAAACCAGACCACUACUGAAUAUAAGGUCAGAUAAAACUCUCCAAGAUAUCGUAUACAAAUUAGUUCCAGGGCUUUUCAAAAAUGAAAUGAAGAGAAGAAGGGAUUUUUAUGCAGCUCAUCCUUCUGCUGAUGCUGCCAAUGGCUCUAAUGAAGAUAGAGGAGAGGUUGCAGAUGAAGAUAAGAGAAUUAUAACUGAUGAUGAGAUAAUAAGCUUAUCCAUUGAAUUCUUUGACCAGAACAGGUAAAAUCUUUAGGCAAUCUAUUUUAUGCUAAUGUUUUAUUAGAUUGUUUCACUAAUAAAUUUUCUCUUUCUUAGAUUGGAUCGGAAAGUAAACAAAGACAAAGAGAAAUCUAAGGAGGAGGUGAAUGAUAAAAGAUACUUACGAUGCCCAGCAGCAAUGACUGUGAUGCACUUAAGAAAGUUUCUCAGAAGU
rnacentral:sRNA from 1 species